rnacentral:rRNA from 1 species
CCUACGGGGGGCAGCAGUGGGGAAUAUUGGGCAAUGGGCGAAAGCCUGACCCAGCAACGCCGCGUGAAGGAAGAAGGCUUUCGGGUUGUAAACUUCUUUUGACAGGGAAGAGCAUAAGACGGUACCUGUCGAAUCAGCCACGGCUAACUACGUGCCAGCAGCCGCGGUAAUACGUAGGUGGCAAGCGUUGUCCGGAUUUACUGGGUGUAAAGGGCGUGUAGCCGGGCUGACAAGUCAGGUGGGAAAUCCGGGGGCUCAACCCCCGAACUGCAUUUGAAACUGUUGGACUUGAGUAUGGGAGAGGCAGGCGGAAUUCCUAGUGUAGCGGUGAAAUGCGUAGAUAUUAGGAGGAACACCAGUGGCGAAGGCAGCCUGCUGGACGACAACUGACGGUGAGGCGCGAAAGCGUGGGGAGCAAACAGGAUUAGAUACCCCUGUAGUC